rnacentral:rRNA from 1 species
UGUUUCGGCUAGGGGGCCAUCCCGGCUUACCAACCCGAUGCAAACUGCGAAUACCGGAGAAUGUUAUCACGGGAGACACACGGCGGGUGCUAACGUCCGUCGUGAAGAGGGAAACAACCCAGACCGCCAGCUAAGGUCCCAAAGUCAUGGUUAAGUGGGAAACGAUGUGGGAAGGCCCAGACAGCCAGGAUGUUGGCUUAGAAGCAGCCAUCAUUUAAAGAAAGCGUAAUAGCUCACUGGUCGAGUCGGCCUGCGCGGAAGAUGUAACGGGGCUAAACCAUGCACCGAAGCUGCGGCAGCGACGCUUAUGCGUUGUUGGGUAGGGGAGCGUUCUGUAAGCCGUUGAAGGUGUGCUGUGAGGCAUGCUGGAGGUAUCAGAAGUGCGAAUGCUGACAUAAGUAACGAUAAAGCGGGUGAAAAGCCCGCUCGCCGGAAGACCAAGGGUUCCUGUCCAACGUUAAUCGGGGCAGGGUGAGUCGACCCCUAAGGCGAGGCCGAAAGGCGUAGUCGAUGGGAAACAGGUUAAUAUUCCUGUACUUGGUGUUACUGCGAAGGGGGGACGGAGAAGGCUAUGUCGGCCGGGCGACGGUUGUCCCGGUUUAAGCGUGUAGGUGUGUGCUCCAGGCAAAUCCGGUGCACUUUAACACUGAGGCGUGAUGACGAGGCACUACGGUGCUGAAGUGACAAAUGCCCUGCUUCCAGGAAAAGCCUCUAAGCAUCAGGUAACAUCAAAUCGUACCCCAAACCGACACAGGUGGUCAGGUAGAGAAUACCAAGGCGCUUGAGAGAACUCGGGUGAAGGAACUAGGCAAAAUGGUGCCGUAACUUCGGGAGAAGGCACGCUGAUAUGUAGGUGAAGUGGUUUACCCAUGGAGCUGAAAUCAGUCGAAGAUACCAGCUGGCUGCAACUGUUUAUUAAAAACACAGCACUGUGCAAACACGAAAGUGGACGUAUACGGUGUGACGCCUGCCCGGUGCCGGAAGGUUAAUUGAUGGGGUUAUCCCUCGGGAGAAGCUCUUGAUCGAAGCCCCGGUAAACGGCGGCCGUAACUAUAACGGUCCUAAGGUAGCGAAAUUCCUUGUCGGGUAAGUUCCGACCUGCACGAAUGGCGUAAUGAUGGCCAGGCUGUCUCCACCCGAGACUCAGUGAAAUUGAACUCGCUGUGAAGAUGCAGUGUACCCGCGGCAAGACGGAAAGACCCCGUGAACCUUUACUAUAGCUUGACACUGAACACUGGUCCUUGAUGUGUAGGAUAGGUGGGAGGCUUUGAAGUGUGGACGCCAGUCUGCAUGGAGCCGCCCUUGAAAUACCACCCUUUAAUGGCUGGUGUUCUAACGUGGGCCCGUAAUCCGGGUUGCGGACAGUGUCUGGUGGGUAGUUUGACUGGGGCGGUCUCCUCCUAAAGAGUAACGGAGGAGCACGAAGGUCAGCUAAUCCUGGUCGGACAUCAGGAGGUUAGUGCAAUGGCAUAAGCUGGCUUGACUGCGAGCGUGACGGCGCGAGCAGGUGCGAAAGCAGGUCAUAGUGAUCCGGUGGUUCUGAAUGGAAGGGCCAUCGCUCAACGGAUAAAAGGUACUCCGGGGAUAACAGGCUGAUACCGCCCAAGAGUUCAUAUCGACGGCGGUGUUUGGCACCUCGAUGUCGGCUCAUCACAUCCUGGGGCUGAAGUAGGUCCCAAGGGUAUGGCUGUUCGCCAUUUAAAGUGGUACGCGAGCUGGGUUUAGAACGUCGUGAGACAGUUCGGUCCCUAUCUGCCGUGGGCGCUGGAGAACUGAGGGGGGCUGCUCCUAGUACGAGAGGACCGGAGUGGACGCAUCACUGGUGUUCGGGUUGUCAUGCCAAUGGCACUGCCCGGUAGCUAAAUGCGGAAGAGAUAAGUGCUGAAAGCAUCUAAGCACGAAACUUGCC